CGAGCGGCGGACGGGUGAGUAAUGCCUAGGAAAUUGCCCUGAUGUGGGGGAUAACCAUUGGAAACGAUGGCUAAUACCGCAUGAUGCCUACGGGCCAAAGAGGGGGACCUUCGGGCCUCUCGCGUCAGGAUAUGCCUAGGUGGGAUUAGCUAGUUGGUGAGGUAAGGGCUCACCAAGGCGACGAUCCCUAGCUGGUCUGAGAGGAUGAUCAGCCACACUGGAACUGAGACACGGUCCAGACUCCUACGGGAGGCAGCAGUGGGGAAUAUUGCACAAUGGGCGCAAGCCUGAUGCAGCCAUGCCGCGUGUGUGAAGAAGGCCUUCGGGUUGUAAAGCACUUUCAGUCGUGAGGAAGGUAGUGUAGUUAAUAGCUGCAUUAUUUGACGUUAGCGACAGAAGAAGCACCGGCUAACUCCGUGCCAGCAGCCGCGGUAAUACGGAGGGUGCGAGCGUUAAUCGGAAUUACUGGGCGUAAAGCGCAUGCAGGUGGUUUGUUAAGUCAGAUGUGAAAGCCCGGGGCUCAACCUCGGAAUAGCAUUUGAAACUGGCAGACUAGAGUACUGUAGAGGGGGGUAGAAUUUCAGGUGUAGCGGUGAAAUGCGUAGAGAUCUGAAGGAAUACCGGUGGCGAAGGCGGCCCCCUGGACAGAUACUGACACUCAGAUGCGAAAGCGUGGGGAGCAAACAGGAUUAGAUACCCUGGUAGUCCACGCCGUAAACGAUGUCUACUUGGAGGUUGUGGCCUUGAGCCGUGGCUUUCGGAGCUAACGCGUUAAGUAGACCGCCUGGGGAGUACGGUCGCAAGAUUAAAACUCAAAUGAAUUGACGGGGGCCCGCACAAGCGGUGGAGCAUGUGGUUUAAUUCGAUGCAACGCGAAGAACCUUACCUACUCUUGACAUCCAGAGAACUUUCCAGAGAUGGAUUGGUGCCUUCGGGAACUCUGAGACAGGUGCUGCAUGGCUGUCGUCAGCUCGUGUUGUGAAAUGUUGGGUUAAGUCCCGCAACGAGCGCAACCCUUAUCCUUGUUUGCCAGCGAGUAAUGUCGGGAACUCCAGGGAGACUGCCGGUGAUAAACCGGAGGAAGGUGGGGACGACGUCAAGUCAUCAUGGCCCUUACGAGUAGGGCUACACACGUGCUACAAUGGCGCAUACAGAGGGCGGCCAACUUGCGAAAGUGAGCGAAUCCCAAAAAGUGCGUCGUAGUCCGGAUUGGAGUCUGCAACUCGACUCCAUGAAGUCGGAAUCGCUAGUAAUCGUGGAUCAGAAUGCCACGGUGAAUACGUUCCCGGGCCUUGUACACACCGCCCGUCACACCAUGGG
rnacentral:rRNA from 1 species